AUUGAACGCUGGCGGCAUGCCUUACACAUGCAAGUCGAACGGCAGCACGGGUGCUUGCACCUGGUGGCGAGUGGCGAACGGGUGAGUAAUACAUCGGAACAUGUCCUGUAGUGGGGGAUAGCCCGGCGAAAGCCGGAUUAAUACCGCAUACGAUCUACGGAUGAAAGCGGGGGACCUUCGGGCCUCGCGCUAUAGGGUUGGCCGAUAGCUGAUUAGCUAGUUGGUGGGGUAAAGGCCUACCAAGGCGACGAUCAGUAGCUGGUCUGAGAGGACGACCAGCCACACUGGGACUGAGACACGGCCCAGACUCCUACGGGAGGCAGCAGUGGGGAAUUUUGGACGAUGGGCGAAAGCCUGAUCCAGCAAUGCCGCGUGUGUGAAGAAGGCCUUCGGGUUGUAAAGCACUUUUGUCCGGAAAGAAAUCCUUGGCUCUAAUACAGUCGGGGGAUGACGGUACCGGAAGAAUAAGCACCGGCUAACUACGUG
rnacentral:rRNA from 1 species